rnacentral:snRNA from 1 species
UUGCUCACUUUGAUAGCAUAUAUACUAAAACUGGAAAGAUACAGAGAUUAGCAUGGGCCCUGUCCAAGGAUGACACACAAAUUCGUGGUGUUCUUCUUGUUUUU